UCCCUACUCGUGCGCAGCAAACCCUGGGGGUC
rnacentral:piRNA from 1 species